rnacentral:rRNA from 1 species
UGCCUUACACAUGCAAGUCGAACGGCAGCACGGGUGCUUGCACCUGGUGGCGAGUGGCGAACGGGUGAGUAAUACAUCGGAACAUGUCCUGUAGUGGGGGAUAGCCCGGCGAAAGCCGGAUUAAUACCGCAUACGAUCUACGGAUGAAAGCGGGGGACCUUCGGGCCUCGCGCUAUAGGGUUGGCCGAUGGCUGAUUAGCUAGUUGGUGGGGUAAAGGCCUACCAAGGCGACGAUCAGUAGCUGGUCUGAGAGGACGACCAGCCACACUGGGACUGAGACACGGCCCAGACUCCUACGGGAGGCAGCAGUGGGGAAUUUUGGACAAUGGGCGAAAGCCUGAUCCAGCAAUGCCGCGUGUGUGAAGAAGGCCUUCGGGUUGUAAAGCACUUUUGUCCGGAAAGAAAUCCUUGGUUCUAAUAUAGCCGGGGGAUGACGGUACCGGAAGAAUAAGCACCGGCUAACUACGUGCCAGCAGCCGCGGUAAUACGUAGGGUGCGAGCGUUAAUCGGAAUUACUGGGCGUAAAGCGUGCGCAGGCGGUUUGCUAAGACCGAUGUGAAAUCCCCGGGCUCAACCUGGGAACUGCAUUGGUGACUGGCAGGCUAGAGUAUGGCAGAGGGGGGUAGAAUUCCACGUGUAGCAGUGAAAUGCGUAGAGAUGUGGAGGAAUACCGAUGGCGAAGGCAGCCCCCUGGGCCAAUACUGACGCUCAUGCAC